GGCCAGGGCUCCCGCUCCUUCCACUGCCAUGACUACCUCUGACACUUUCCCCUGGUUCUUCUCUCUCCCUCUCCAACUUGCAGGUUACUGCUCGGAAGGGUGGGGCUGGCAUUCACCGUGAACAGACCUGGGUGGCCAUUCUCAGCGCGGCCUCUUCUGGCUGUGUACCGGUGGUUUAAAAAGCAAAUGACAGAACUUCUGCUUCCAGCAAGAUGGAGCGGACUCACUUUUUCCUAUGCUUCCUGCUGUGUACAACAGGAAACCCUGGAUGUUGUAUACAAAGCAAACAUGAGACAACUCUGAAAGGUGGAGAGGAGAAGACAGACAGGCUGGGGAGCUGGGGGCCCGAGGAACGACACGGCAGUGGGUUCCCUGGGUUUUCUCCUCACCUCACGUCGCUCAGACUCGAAGCUGAAGAAACGGGCAACCUGGGAAUAAUAAUGGAGGGAAUUCAACCACCUAUAAAGAAGUCCAGCCUAUCCAUAAGGAGAGACGGGGUCAUGUGGAAGACCAAACAGAUAUAUGAGUGGGCCCAGUCAACAGCAAGAGAAGAGAAAGGCCCAGCCAUCUCGGCCAACUGCCAGCUGAGUCAGCCACCCCAGCUGAGGCUCCAGACACGAGUGAUGCCAUUUUGGAUUCUCCAGCCCCGGUCCAGCACUCCAGAUGGUACUGUAGCCCAAAUUUGCCCUCUUAAGAACAAGUUAAGUGUAUAAUGCAGUACUGUUAAAUACAGGCACAAAGAUCUCUGGAAUUUAUUCAUCUUCCAUAA